ACAAGCAUCCUAUAUUCUGCAAAAUGUGAUGAAAUUCUGGGGCGUUGACAUUCAUCAAUUAUGACAGCUUCCCAUUUUGAUUCAUAUUUCCAUUCACUCUAUCAUUGACAUUGAAAAUUGGGUGUGUAAUCUUUACUCUAGUCAAGGGCUUCCCUAGCUUGUCGAGUGAAUGCUUAGUGGCUCCCCUGCUGUUGUGGAUUU
rnacentral:lncRNA from 1 species